rfam:Myotis davidii contig163422, whole genome shotgun sequence.
ACCAGUGUGGCUCAGUGGAUAGAGUGUUGGUCUGUAGGCCAAAGGGUCACAGGUUCGAUUCCUGAUCAAGGGCA